GAUGAACGCUGGCGGCGUGCCUAACACAUGCAAGUCGAACGGAAAGACCAUGAGAUUGUGCUUUUACCGGUUGCGGGUGGCGGGAGAGUAACGCGUGCAUCGGACUCUUAUAUUUCGGGGAUAAUCACGGAAAGCCGGUUACGAUACUACAGCAUACGCCGUACCGUUGGGUUCGGUAGAGAAUCUGGGCUUUGGGGACUGGAUUAGCCGGUGUUGCGUUAGUUAGUUGGUUGGGUAAAGGCACAGCAAGGCAAGGAUACGUAGCUGGUCUGAGAGGAUGAUCGGCCACACUGGAACUGGGACACGGUCCAGACUCCUACGGGAGGCAGCAGUGGGGAAUAUUGGGCAAUGGGCGCAAGCCUGACCCAGCCAGACCGCGUGGGUGAAGAAGGCCUUCGGGUCGUAAAGCCCUUUUGUUGGGAAAGAACAGCAGUAGGUUAAGACGACGCUGUUCUGACGGUACCUAAUCAAUAAGCACCGGCUAACUACGUG
rnacentral:rRNA from 1 species